rfam:Camponotus floridanus CamFlo_1.0_1.contig6508, whole genome shotgun sequence.
UGCACGCUCCUUAGAUCCAUCUCUGAUUCACUAAGAGAUGCUUGAGUCAUUGGUGUGCAAUAAUAUGCAAUACCUUCUUUUUGGUUUCUUGUAGUAAUGUUGCAUCAUGACAUUACUCAUAUUAACCAAAGAGAGGACAAU